UCAGUGCAGUAAUCGUAGAUCAUAUGGUGUAGCCUGACCCAACGGUAUGCCCUGGCCUGAAUCGGACUGAGCUGGUGGUAAGAAGGAGCAUCCCACCAGCUGCUGACAGUGUUACAAUCGCUCCGAGCUCCAGGAACGGCGCAGGCCUCGAUGUCAAAGUCUUUGUAGUAGGCAUAGAAGGGAGCUUUGCUCCAGUCAAUCUUCUCCAAGCCACCUCGUGUUGCCCAGUCGUCGGCAUUCCAGAGAGUUGAAUAGAUUCCCAUGGGCUGGGCAUUGGGGUAUGCCACUCCCCUUGCUUCAUUGUUCUUGUAUACUCUUAUCGGAAUGGCAUCUACGAAAAAACUGUUGCAGAAUGCCAAAUAAGCAAAGCUCCUGUCCUCUCUUCUUGGUAGCAGCAAGGCAUAAGUUGAAAGCGAGUAUAAUUAGUAUACAGCAUUUAAAGAAUUUCAUGUCCAUGGAGCGAGCAAGCAAUGGACUGUCACUUGUCUUAAAGCUUCUGUUGGAAGGAAAGUGGAGAUAUGUUUUUACUUUUAAAAUGGGAGAGAAACCGUGACCAUUUGUAAAGUUAUACUGUCCCCUGAAAAGAGUCCUGUUCUUAGCUGGCUGGCCUUCAAAAGGACCAGUCAAUGGAGGAGGGAAAUCAUGUGUUUUUUAGACUGGCUGGGGGGCCAUGGGGAUGGGUAAUAAUGCUGUUGAAGUAAAGCCAAGGCAGACGCAGUCCUUGUGGUCUUUUGUUUCUUUUCUUUUGCUUAUGUCGUGUCCUCAUGCAUUGGACAGGAAUCUUAUAGUUCAACCAAUAGGAAAGAAAGUAGGAGGAACCAAAGACAUUUUCAGUGUUAAGAAAUAGUUGACCGAGAAGUUUCUGUUUUCUCCAAUUCAAAAGAGGGAUCCUAUGCAUUGAACUUUCUAUGAUCAUUAAGGUUCAAAAAGCUAUCUAAUACUCUGAAAGAGAAGUGUCCAUCUAUUGGUGUUGGCUUUCGGGAUCUAUUUGCUGUUAGCUUAAAUGAAAGGUAUCUGUGAAUGGAAUAUGAAAGGAGUGCCGAGAGAAAAAAGAAAAAGAAAAAGAAAACAUGGGACAAUGACAGUGCAUGUUCAAAAGAUGCAAGAUGCACGGAUGCAGGUUAUAGGGCAACUUCAUCAAGAGUUCCAAUUCCAACUUCUAUCUCGAGAAGGUCCAAAUAUGUAUCAUUAUCUUUAGAAGGUGAUUUCAAAUUUAGUGUUCUUAUCUCAACAAGGUUGCGAGACAAUC